rnacentral:rRNA from 1 species
UACGUAGGGUGCGAGCGUUAAUCGGAAUUACUGGGCGUAAAGCGUGCGCAGGCGGUUUUGUAAGCCAGAUGGGAAAUCCCCGGGCUCAACCUGGGAAUGGCAUUUGGGACUGCAAGGCUGGAGUACGGCAGAGGAGACUGGAAUUCCUGGUGUAGCAGUGAAAUGCGUAGAGAUCAGGAGGAAUACCGAUGGCGAAGGCAGGUCUCUGGGCUGAUACUGACGCUCAUGCACGAAAGCGUGGGGAGCAAACAGG